rnacentral:tRNA from 1 species
GGCGAGGUAGCUCAGUUGGUUAGAGCGCACGACUCAUAAUCGUGAGGUCGCGGGUUCGAACCCCGCUCUCGCUA